GGAUCCAGACUUUGAUCCUGGCUCAGGAUGCCAGAUCAGCUGAGCGUCACAUGAGCUAGUCAACUACAUGCAAGUCGAGGGGAAAUGACAUCGAAAGCUUGCUUUUGAUGGGCGUCGACCGGCGCACGGGUGAGUAACGCGUAUCCAACCUGCCCACCACUUGGGGAUAACCUUGCGAAAGUAAGACUAAUACCCAAUGACGUCUCUAGAAGACAUCUGAAAGAGAUUAAAGAUUUAUCGGUGAUGGAUGGGGAUGCGUCUGAUUAGCUUGUUAGCGGGGUAACGGCCCACCAAGGCGACGAUCAGUAGGGGUUCUGAGAGGAAGGUCCCCCACAUUGGAACUGAGACACGGUCCAAACUCCUACGGGAGGCAGCAGUGAGGAAUAUUGGUCAAUGGACGAGAGUCUGAACCAGCCAAGUAGCGUGCAGGAUGACGGCCCUAUGGGUUGUAAACUGCUUUUAUAAGGGAAUAAAGUGAGUCUCGUGAGACUUUUUGCAUGUACCUUAUGAAUAAGGACCGGCUAAUUCCGUGCCAGCAGCCGCGGUAAUACGGAAGGUCCGGGCGUUAUCCGGAUUUAUUGGGUUUAAAGGGAGCGUAGGCCGGAGAUUAAGCGUGUUGUGAAAUGUAGACGCUCAACGUCUGCACUGCAGCGCGAACUGGUUUCCUUGAGUACGCACAAAGUGGGCGGAAUUCGUGGUGUAGCGGUGAAAUGCUUUAGAUAUCACGAAGAACUCCGAUUGCGAAGGCAGCUCACUGGAGCGCAACUGACGCUGAAGCUCGAAAGUGCGGGUAUCGAACAGGAUUAGAUACCCUGGUAGUCCGCACGGUAAACGAUGGAUGCCCGCUGUUGGUCUGAAUAGGUCAGCGGCCAAGC
rnacentral:rRNA from 1 species